rnacentral:rRNA from 1 species
UACGGGGGGGGGCAAGCGUUGUUCGGAAUUACUGGGCGUAAAGGGCUCGUAGGCGGCCAACUAAGUCAGACGUGAAAUCCCCAGGCUUAACCUGGGAACUGCGUCUGAUACUGGAUGGCUUGAAUUCGGGAGAGGGAUGCAGAAUUCCAGGUGUAGCGGUGAAAUGCGUAGAUAUCUGGAGGAACACCGGUGGCGAAGGCGGCAUCCUGGACCAAUAUUGACGCUGAGGAGCGAAAGCCAGGGGAGCAAACGGG